rnacentral:rRNA from 1 species
GAUGAACGCUGGCGGCGUGCCUAAUACAUGCAAGUCGAGCGAACAGACGAGGAGCUUGCUCCUCUGACGUUAGCGGCGGACGGGUGAGUAACACGUGGAUAACCUACCUAUAAGACUGGGAUAACUUCGGGAAACCGGAGCUAAUACCGGAUAAUAUAUUGAACCGCAUGGUUCAAUAGUGAAAGACGGUUUUGCUGUCACUUAUAGAUGGAUCCGCGCCGCAUUAGCUAGUUGGUAAGGUAACGGCUUACCAAGGCGACGAUGCGUAGCCGACCUGAGAGGGUGAUCGGCCACACUGGAACUGAGACACGGUCCAGACUCCUACGGAGGCAGCAGUAGGGAAUCUUCCGCAAUGGGCGAAAGCUUGACGGAGCAACGCCGCGUGAGUGAUGAAGGUCUUCGGAUCGUAAAACUCUGUUAUUAGGGAAGAACAAAUGUGUAAGUAACUAUGCACGUCUUGACGGUACCUAAUCAGAAAGCCACGGCUAACUACGUG